ensembl:lncRNA
AGUCUUCAUAUCAGUAUGCUUUCACAUCAUUUGAUCAUAAUAUUACCAUUUAUCCAUCUGAGCCUGAAGAAGAUGUCUGUCUAGAUGGCACUUGUUUACUGAAAGACUAUGCAGAUUCUGUGGGGCAAGAUGAAGAAACAGAAGAAACAUUAAUGGACAGUCUUCAUUCUAGUGGUACUAUACCUGGCAAAAGAGAAAAUGACCAUGAACAGCCUCUGGGAAACCUAUCCCUGUGGGAAGAAGACUCUGAGUCUACUGAAGUUUUAGAUAAAGAGAAAUCAGUGUACAGCUCUGUAGAAAAGCAUGUUGAAUGGCAAAAUAAAGCUCAGCUGGUACAAGCCUCUCCACUUUCUACAAGCCCUUCAGGUGAAUUCAUUAAUGAUAAAGAAAGUACUAAUUAUGCAUCUACAGAAAGCAUCCCAAAACAAUGUUCAGUUUUACAGUCAAAUGUUCACCCACCUUAUGCAGAGUCUGAGGUAACAAAUAAAAGGAGACAGUCUGUACUGACUGACCCUCCAGUGAUAACUGGAGAAGUAGAAGGAAGACUUGUCCACGGCAACACUACAUUGAUACCUGAAUGUUUUGGCUCUGCAGUGAAGAAAGAACCUAACCUUACCUGCAGUAUACAAGAAAAAUCCUUGCUGUCAUCCUUGUUGUUAGAUCACAAAGAGAAUGACAUGAAUAAAACAUUGGAAAGCCUUUCUGAGGUACAGGAUGUAUCUGGAGAUGUUCUUGUUGAAUCUGAUUGCCAUAAUAACUCAGCACAGGUCUCCAUAUUAUCUACCUCUUCCGUAUGCACAGAAAAGAAAGAGAAUUUCACAGAACAUUUAAACAUUAAGCAAAGACUGGAGAACUUUUGCAGUAAACAGUUGCUUGAUGACAGUUUAAGGAGAGAGCCUGGAGCAAAUCAACUACCUCUGUUAGUCAAGUCCAACUUUGAAGAAAUUGAAUCAAAUUUUGAAAUGAAAGAAGAUUAUUAUGAGACUGAUGAUAUCUCAUCAGUAAAACAUAUUAGUCAGAAAGGUAGGUGUUACAAGACUUCUCAAGUUAAUAUCACACAUCUUUUGCAUAGGAGCUUUUAUGACAUCUGUUUUCUAGGAAAAUAAAUGUAUAUUAAAAGUUUGCAAUGAUGUUGUUAUGGUAUAUGUUUGGCCAUGGGGUUAUAAUAUGCAGUUAUUCUGCUGAGGAUUCUAGGAACCAUCUUGCAGAGCCAAGAAAUCUAAAUUUAAAAAGAAAAGAAUUAAUGCAUCUUUGAUCAAGAAGCAGUUUUCCUACAUUAAACUGCCCACCCAUCCUAUACAGCUAGAGAGAGAAGAAUAUAUCAUUGCGGGAAGUAACAGUAAAAGUAGUUGCCAUGUGAUAUGAACUCAGAGCACAAGUCUGUGUUUAAAACCCAGAAAUCUGGAUUUCAAGUCCAUGUGAUAAAUAUGAAUAUAUAUAUGAAUACAUCUUGGUCUUAAUUCUGGCUGAACAUUUUCAUGGAAUGACCAUAAAGAAUCCUUUAACCUUCUUUUCUCCUCUCUUUAAUGUGUUUGAAGAAAUGGCAUACAAAAAAGGCUUAUUUUUAAUAGCUAAUAUUUUACAAAUUUCUUGUCUUACUUUUUGUAAUCCAUCUACUCAUAUCCAUAACUGGUCUUUUAAAAUGAAUGUUUUGAAGUAUAAAAAUUUUAAGCCAUCCUGGGACAUUGCACACUACAAAGUGAGCCUUUUACAUUAUUAAUAGGUACGCACAUAUGUGUGUGUGUGUUGUUAAAAUAUCACUCUGAACACUUUAAUUUUAUUUUUUAAUAUUAAUCAAGUUAUAUGCAAAUAUAUCUCAAAUUUACCUCUCUAGAAAAUGAUCUUUCCAGCAGAUUUGGAGGUUAAGAGGUUUAUAUAAUUGAAAAAUAUAUAUUUUCUUAUGGGAAAUGUCUUAUAUAAUCCUAGUUCAAAGCAGCUGAAGUUUUUAAAAAAUCUUUUAGUUCACCAUACCUGCAGAAAGACUGGUAUGGCCUCCAUGGCUGUCUUGUUUGGCAUUGGUAAUGGAAAUUUUAAAAAAUACCGGAAGUAUUUUAUACACUAUAUAGAUAUACUACAUAGAUUGAUAUUGCUAUAUAGACCAAUGUCUCCACAUAAAUAUCUCAAUACCAAGUAUCUCAAUAUCUCAGUAUCACUAUGUAAAAUAGAGAAUGGAUGAAAUGGAACUCUCUAUAGAACAAGGUAAUGAAUUAAGAUACUAAAGGAAAACUGUAUGCGAAAAUCAUUGACUUCUCAGACAUUAAACCUAAAUGGUUAAGGACACAGCACAGAAGUGAGAUAUAGCUAUAUUUUUCAUUUUUAUUUUAUUUUCUCUUGUUUUAUUCUCUCUUUCCUUUUGCCCCUUGCCAAGAAUUAUCUACAUGUGUUCUUUCUCAUGCCUGUCAUCUCGAUUUGGCCCUCCUUUGGUCCAAAGUCAUAUUUUGAUUUUCCUUCAUUCCUAGCAAUGCUGAGGAGGUCC